ACUAUGAGUUUCUAGGCCUUAUACCUAAUACCAGUGCCACAAAGGCAUUUUAAGAUUGAAUUCCAUUGACAUGAUUCUGACUUUCACAAGACCCCGUGGAGAUGAUCUGUACAUUGUAUCUUCUAGAAUGAUUUGACUUUAGCCCUUUCACUAUGGUAUGAUAGGAGAAAUCCAGGAUACUUAGAUGGAAGCUUCCUUUUUCCUUCCAUUGCUCUCAAUGUGUGUCAGACCUUCCCACCUAUGACUGGAUGGCUGCAACUUCCUUAGGUGACUGCACCCCUAUGAGAAGGUGGGUCAGGUCCAUUAUGGUCACUGGAAACCCGCAGUGCUAGAGAGACAAGAUAAGGUCAAGCAAGCUGAGGUCAGCACAGGUCUCGCUGGAAAGAGAGGUGUGCUCUCCUUAGAAUGAGACUGGCAAGUCUGACCUGGCAUUCGGCAACAUUCUGGACCUCAAACUUGGCAAACAGGAAAGGUCUUGAUGUGAGUCUAAUAAGCACUAAUAAUUAAGGGAUGUGUGUGGCAGUGCAUCCUCAUACGUGAAAUUGAUGAAGAGACUUUGCAGCUGAGGAUUAUCCUGGCUACACCAAGACUAACAAAGAAAUGAAGGAACAAAGCCCAUGAACCCAGGAGACGUGGAAGUUACUCAGACAUAAGGACAGAUCAUCUUAAUUACAAAUUGCAAAUACAAAAGACAAUAUAUGGGAUCCUAAAGCAAGGAAAUUGAUCUACUCCCAAUGCCGAGCACAAUGCGUGGAAGACAAGGUUUGCACAAGAGAUAAGUAAUGCUCCGCUGAAUGAGAGGUCCAGAGUCAGCUCACUUCCUGGGCACGUGCCUCAUCGCACACACUCACGAUGGAUUGGCAAUGCCUCUUUUACUGAAUAAUGACUACCUUUUAUAUUGCAAAAUCUCACUCUUAAUCAAUUCACAGAAACUCAGAACCUUUUCCAAAUAGAAACAGUCCAUCUGAACGGUGGUAAACAAGAUGUUGAAGUCUGCAAAAUGGAAAACAAAUUAUGCAGAGGAAUUGUGUGCAAUGACUUAGAAAGAAAAAAAAAAAAAGGACACUUUUUAACCCACUCCUGCUUCUUUAAUUGUUUUGGCAUAUGGGAAUCAGAGAGUCACGCAGGUAAGCAAAUGUUAACUUUCCAGAAGCCUGCCACUUGGAGGCUCAGAUCCAUGUUUGGUGUAGCUUCAUGCUGCAGCCAAGCCGCAAUAGCACAAAGCAAGUACGUGUUGUUAUGUGUGAAAUGACUGAAGGUGGUUUUGAACUUUUCACUGAAGUGAGUGUCAUGGGUUAAAGACUUCCACCAAGACUGCAAUGAACCACCACAAAACCGUCUCUAGAAUUCAGCCUAUCGCUCCUAACUGAGGUUGGAUACCCCUAGAGGAUUACAAAGUGAUAUUUGACAGCAAAGACUUUUGCAGUAUCAUUUGUUUGGGUUAUUAAGAGUGAACAUAUAUAUUAUAAAUGUUUCCUUUUUUUUUUUUAUUGCUUUCCCAUACUUUUAUCAGUUUGGAAGGAAAACUUCAGAAAAAUACUGUGAUUAGAGUCAGUAAAUUUUCUGCAGAGAGUUUAAUGGGAUAGUUAAAAUUUCUUAAAUAAAGCAUUGUCUCUCACCGCAGACAUGGCCGUUCUCCCAGUUAUGGAUGGAAGGAGACUGCUAAAAGCACUACAACCCUGCGAAUACCCAAAGCAGUACCGAAAAUCACUGAUGCUGUCAUGUUUCACAGAUGCAGCCGCUGAGGCUGGUAGAGGAUAAAUAACAACCCCCGGGUCACACUGCACUGGUAGCAAGUGACAGAACCAUACUUAGAUUCCAGAUGCUCGAACUCUAAACCACUAUGUUACAUUUAUUCAACAGAUAUUUCCCGAGUUCCCAGUUAUUUCUUAGUCCGUAUAUGAUACUGCUCAUAUUGGUGGUUGAAUCGUACAAUAUCAGACAUAGCUCUGCUCUUAAGAUGCUUCUCCUAUUGUCAGGGAAGAUAAGACAUGUUUCCACAAAAACUCACCAAAAUAGAAGGCAGUAAACAAGAUGUGAAGACUUAAGAGGUAGGCAUUUUAAACAAGGUAGGCUCACGUUUUGGGCCCCAAUCACUUGUCUUUUGAAGCAUAAAACAUGAUAUUGAUAAAAGAAAUGUUCACAUAUUGAAGUAUGGGGAAGUCUUUCUGGCUUAUACAUGAGUUAACUUGAACUUUAUGCUAACUAAAACAGCCUGUUUGUGGCCUAUCAAACGCACAUUGUACAUCUGCUGGAAUUAUUAAAAGAAAGGGCGCAUUGACCAGAGGUAAAAAAAUGUCCACGUUAAAAAUGAAGAUCAAAUGCCUUCCUUCCUGGGAUGCCAAGGCCGGGACUCCUUCCAUGAUGACUCCCUUCCCCGGGGCCAAGGCCAUCCUGACUCACUGUGUAGGUGCUGAUCUCUUUUGCUGAAACCUUGAAGGAAUGUAUCUCUGACUUGUUUGGUGUUAUUUGUUCUGACAAGAUGUAAAACUGUGCUGAAACCGUGCUUCCCUGGAGCAGUUCCUCAGAGUUAUAUGAGAGGCUGGCUUCCAGGCUAUAGUCCUCAGCUUGGCUGAAAUAAAACUCCUGUCUGUCUA